rnacentral:rRNA from 1 species
CUACGGGGCGCUCCAGUGGGGAAUAUUGCACAAUGGAGGAAACUCUGAUGCAGCAACGCCGCGUGGAGGAUGACACUUUUCGGAGCGUAAACUCCUUUUAUAUAGGAAGAAGAUGACGGUACUAUAUGAAUAAGCGCCGGCUAACUCCGUGCCAGCAGCCGCGGUAAUACGGAGGGCGCAAGCGUUACUCGGAAUCACUGGGCGUAAAGAGCGUGUAGGCGGAUUAAAAAGUCAGAAGUGAAAUCCUAUAGCUUAACUAUAGAACUGCUUCUGAAACUCUUAAUCUAGAAUAUGGGAGAGGUGGAUGGAGUUUCUGGUGUAGGGGUAAAAUCCGUAGAGAUCAGAAGGAAUACCGAUUGCGAAGGCGAUCUACUAGAACAUUAUUGACGCUAAGGCGUGAAAGCGUGGGGAGCAAACAGGAUUAGAUACCCGGGUAGUC